UGAGAGGGAGCUGUUGAACGAGAUGUUGGUUCGGUUCAAUAAGAACUCAACGUUCAAAUGGUGCAUUGAACGUUGCUUUUUGAUUGAGCCGUGCCAAUAUCACGUGCAUGUUGCU
rnacentral:pre_miRNA from 1 species